GUAGUUCUCUCCCGCCUUCUCUCCCGCCAGCCCCUAGCGCCCGGCGAGGGGGCGCGGACUACACUUCCCGGCACGCUCCGCGGGAGAUGGGGGCGCCCCCCGCCCUCCUCCAGCCUCUACCGCUGGUCUCCCCCCCAUCCCCGCCGCCUCUCUCGGCGUGGCGGGGUCUGAGCCGCCGCCGCCCGCCGCGGGCAGCAGCGCCGUGAGGGGCUGCCCCGUUCCCGGGCCCUGCCGUUACCUGGGAGAGCCGGGGCUAUUUUUAACCUGGAUGUGUUCUGUGAUAUGUUUCCCACACAGCACAGAAACUGGCACAGCUGAGGGGCUGGGAGCCAGGAGGGCUGGCGCUUGGGACACCUCCUCCUGGUGGGCUGCCAAGGACGGUGGCAGUGUCCUCCCGCCCAGGGCGGUGGCCCCGGGCACACGGCAUCCGUCCCUGCUGCUCGCCCGACCCUCCCCUCGAGACCUACUUCUGCUGGGAGAGGCAAGGGUGUGUAGUGUGGCCUGAACUGAGGCAUGAGAACGUUCUGGAGAGCUGGAGGAUGGAAAGGCUGGUGGGACCAUGCUGGAGGAACAUCCUGAAGGAAAUGAGAAAGAGCUUGUUUAUGUGGCUCUUGAAAAUUGUCCCAGGAUAAUCCAUGGCCAGAGCAGCACUGCCUGGUGGCUGGAGGGAGCUGCUUGUCCCGGUCCAGAGGACAGCAUAGGCAUCUGCUGACCAACACCACGGGAACAAUCAAGGAUGAGGACCCAGAGUCAGCUGGGGAGCUGUGUCUGACAUUGUAUGCACAUCUGACAGCCCUAGCUACAUUGCCAGCAAAGAAGAGAUGGACUCCAGCCCUGGAUUUGUGCUCAUUGUCUGCUGGGCUCUCUGCUAACUCUGAGCCUUUGGUGUGGAUCACUCCAAGAAGCAGUUGCCAAGGUAAAGAAAAUGCAGUUUUACGGCACGCUCCAUUAACAGCCAAGACUGAUUGUUUAAAUUAAGGCAUCCAGUUCCUUCACACUUCUUUGGAAAUUUCAGCCCUGGUGUUACCUUUUCAAGCCUCCUACUUCUCCUCCUUCCUACUUCAGCAUCAGCUCCUCCAGCCUUCACUGGGAGAAAGAUUUUAGAAGCUUUUAGGAGCAACCUGCACAGAAUGCUUGGAUCAUGACUGUCACUACCUGCAAGCUCCAGGGAGAGUAAGCAAGGCUGAAGGGACUUUGGAGAGGGAUUGGGUUUCCCAGAGAUCCAUCAAGCCAGCUUUGGGAAGUCUCUAAAGAUGGCAGAGCCACCAUUUGAGUAGAGGUGCCUGCGCUUGCCCACGUCCUGCUCCUCUGCCCACCAUAUCCCUCUAGGCCUCUUCACUCAGAUGUGGCUUUUCUAUUUGACCCCACCAGUCAUAGGACUGGACAAAAAAAGAGAUGCCAGGAAGACCUAUAUGUACCUCUCAGCUGGGGCUAUGUGAGCUGUGAAAUGUAGCUCCGACAAGAACUCCUGCAAAGCGUGCACAGUAUUGCAAGUAUUUUGAUACUGCUAACGAGUAGAUGGUUGUAUAAAUAAAAUACCUUCUGAUAUGUAUUUACAAAACAUCAAGAUUUUCAGUAAUUUAGGAUUGAAUUACACCCUGUUGUAGCACAUAAGGGGAAGGAUUAGGGCACUGCAGCUCACAGCUGGGCAGCUAAACCCGCUUUUCCUGUUCAAUCGUCUGCCUUCGAUCUGUUUCUCUUGAAUAUUCAGCUGAAAUUCAGCUGAAAGGCAUCAGCCAUGCUCAGAUCAGUAAAGUACCACUGGAUGAAUGCUUGUGCUCUUUGUAGAGUGAAAUUUGGCACCUGAGGGAUCACAAGCCCCCCAGCAAAAAGUGGAUUCCUCCCUAUUGUUGGGUCAGGUGCUGCUGAGAAUUGGCAGCUGAGCAGCACAAGGCUCUCAAGCCUCCCUGGCACAACCACAAGGACUGGUCAGAAAAUCCCUCCCAGGAGGUGAUGAAAAACCCCAGGGUGCCACCAACAUCCCCCACACCGGCCAACAGAGCCCCUCCAUCACUACAGACCUGCAGCAUCCUUUGCCAAAUGUAGUAGUUCCCUUUUGUUGACACCUGUGCUGCUCAUUUAUUUGCCUCUGUCAGCAUGACCAAGUGACGUGAUGGGCUCUGCAGGAUUUCUGUUGAUCCUCCUCCAUGUCUUGGCAUUAGGAUCUGGCUUGUUGACCACUCAAGAAAUUUCCCUUUCUUUUAUUUCACUCCACUUCAUCCUUUGAUGUAAUGCUAAAUAAAAUCUACUUAUUGUUUAACCACACCUCACAGCAGCAGUGGUUAUGUUUGUUGCUGGUUUAGUUUCCAAGUAAUUUAAAUAAACAACUGAGCCAUGAGGAGAAACUACAAAACAUCCUUUUCCCCUGGACAUCAUGACAUGGCAGGCCAUUAAUAUUUCUUUAGCACAACAAACUUUGAGGCUUGAAAUACAUACCUUGGUUUGUCAAGUGGGAUAAUUAUUAACAUUUUUAACUAUCCAGCUAAUGAGCUCCUGUGUUGCAGUGUAUGUGGGGCUGUACAGUGUUUCUCACACCAAUUUCUUGGGAAAUCUGGGUCUGUAAUUUGGUGCAGUCCUCGCAGCAGGAAUGUGUUUAAUCUUCUAAGGUGACGUCAGCCACUCUUGUCCUGGCAUUAAAAGUCAGCCAGUGUCCCUUCCAGCUUUCCCAGGCAAUCAGCAGCCAGAAAAUCAGUGUUGUGCUUGGGGACACCAGCAUCAGGAAGUGUGAAGGUGGUUGUCCUGCUUCUGGUGUCAGGGCUUCCAUCUGGGAACCAGCCCCAGUGCAACACCCCCUCUAUUUCAGUGAAUGCCCAAUCUUUCCUUCAGCAGCACCUACAAGUGCUUGGCAGUGCCACUCUGGAGACACAAUGGAUAGAUCUCCCCCCAGGAGAACUCAGGGGUUGGAAGUCGCUUUAGGGUCUUUGAUGCUUUUCUCUCCUUCCCCUGGGGAAGGCAGGGCCAGUGGGAGGGGGGCUGGGUAUCAGCGGCACUGGAGCAUCCCCGGGGCUACCAGGGACACCAGGACAUCCCGUGCUGUGGCCCAGCUCUGUUUUAUGGUGCUGCCUGCUCACUUCCAUUUUCAGAGGGUGGCAUAGCUGAAAGUGAAGCUGUGCACCCCUCGGGGGAGACAUUCUGGAGAACACCAGCCGGUUCUCCAACUCCACCACAGAGCAAUAUUGUUUCACCACAAAAAAAUCUCACUGGCCAACACACAGCAGGUCUGGAGCAGCCCCUGAGAAGCACCAGGCUCUGCAUCCCAUUAGGGCUGCCCGGAGGAAGCUGGACAGGAUUUUUAUUAAAUCAAGCUCAGUCAAUGCUUAAAGAAGGGCUUUUUUGAAUUACGAGCUGAACCUCAUGUUUGGUGCCCUGCCAAGCUCAGGAUAGUGCGAGGAAGAAAAGGAGAUGUAUUUUUGGACUCCAUGUCUGCUAACAGGCUGUUAGAUAAAAUUAAAGAGGCUGUUUAUAAAGAAUCCGCUGGUGCUGAAGCAGAUGUGGAGGCCCGAGUUUAUGACAAGAUAUAUUUCUGGUGUUGGCACGAACAAUCAAUUUCAUUCAGGACUUUCCUCAUGCUGUAAUGAUUUGUUGGUUUGGGAUUGAUUUCUUUUUUAUUUAUUUCAUUAUUUUAACUGAAGCUGGCACAAUGCCCUCAUUACUUGUGAUAAACUUGUUUGUUUACUUAUGUUGUGGUAACUGGAGAGCUGGACUCAGGCUCUGCUUCCUUGGAUGCUGGUUGUUUCCUACCAGAGCACUUGGAGCUGUCUGACACUGGCACUGUGUUUUAAAAAUACACUGCUUUCCUCAGCCUUGCAGGCAGCAAGGGCAUCGCUGUGCUUUUACAAGAAAAAUCAAGAGCACAAGUGAAGGCACAUUGUCAUUAAUUAUGUAUGGUUUGGGUUUUUCCUGCCUUGCUGCUCCUCCUUGGACCCUACACUGAGUCCUGACUUCCUUAUGGCACAGAUAAAAACUUGAAAGAGAGAAGCCCAACACAAUUGCUGUGAUCUAAAUGUACAGCAGGGCAUUGCAUAUGGAAGGCAUAAUAUUUGAUGGUAAAUUUUGGUUUGACAUUAUAGUAGAAGUUAAGGGAAAAGGUGUCAUCCUUGGCCUAGGGUUUCAUAAGUGCCAUAGGCAGAUGGGCUCUUUUAAACCUUCCCCUCCUCUUUUAAAAGGAGAAACUCACAAUCUGGACUCAAGCAAACCUUAAAGUCAUAAAAUCCCAGGUUCCAAUAAAUCUUUGUUUUAUGAAAACACAUUGAGCAUAUAUCAAAACAGAAACUGUAAAAGAAAUUAAACAUGUGUGUGUCACAUACUCUGCUGGAUUCUUCUUAAUAGUUUUGCAGGAUCGGUGGAAUAACGAGGUGCAGUUUUGCUCUGUGAAGUUUUGGCACCUCCCUGCAGUGCUGUUGGGCUGCCCACCCAGAACACGAGCAAGCACAAGGGGAAGGGAUGGCAACUCCACUCCCACCUCCUCUCCCUUCUUUCCCAGAGCAGACAGGCUGGGCUGUAGCUGUAUCCCCACAGGCCCUGGGCAUCACAAAUCUUCCCUUUGGUGGCCCAGCAAAGUGAGGACUUCCUCCUCCAGCUCAGUGAGUGGCAAGGCUGUAGCAAACAACAGUGCUGUAAGUCAAGGGGAGGGAAAAGUAAAAUGAUAUCUGGGAGGAGGAUUUGCCUGCCUGUUCCCGUAAAGUGGAAGAGCAAAGCAAAAAUGAAAGGAACUGGGAUCACACUGCAGAGACACAGAUUUUAACAAGUUCCUUUUCAGGGCUUUAAAAGAUUAUGCAUGUGACGUAAUCUUGACAUUUCCUGGCCGACUGGUGAUUUCCUUGGAUCAAAUAUCCGGAAUCCUGGGGACUUGUCACCACCUCGUGCAGCUCCUAUUACUUGCAGCACCCCAGGGGACACAGAAGGAGCGAGGCAGAGGGUUCUGGGUCAGAGGGCAGAACCUACAUCCCUGUCCCUGUGCUCCCUCUCACCCUGGCUGGGUGAGACACGGACCCCACACCUUCCCUUUUAGAAAUUCCCCUUAACUUUGAGGGUUGAGGUUUUAGGCUCCUGGCCACGGGUCCUGCACCCAGAAGCCUUGGCAGAGAGACUAAAGCCUGGGAGAACCCUGGCAGGGACAGACCCUCAGACCAUGUAACAAUAUAUAAUCUAUUUCUUUCAAUCUGUUGUAGAAUGACUAUUUUAUAAAAUUCCAAGUGACUUGCUGGAGUAGUCAACACUAAGACCAAAAGCCAGCAGAGCCCUAUAAAUUUUGGGAAUCUUCUUAUCAUGAAGAUUCAUCAAGUUUCUGCUGGUAGUGUGCUGAAACCUUAAAGUUAUGGGGAAAGAGAAAAAAAAUGCAGUAAAACAUUAAUUAACAUUUUAUCAAGCAUUGGGACAGGCUUCCCAGGGAAGUGGUAAAGCUGCCAAACCUGGAGGUUGCAACCAGAGCAGGGACCAAGCAGGGCACAGUGGCAAACCCCCAUCCUGACUUGAGAUCCUGCAACC